rnacentral:lncRNA from 1 species
ACGAAUUUAAAAGUUAGGUUAGGUUAGUAAAACAUUUAAGACAAGAGCUGGUAGCAAAAAGACAAACUCCAAACAAAAGCUUUUUCACAUCAGUGACUUCAGUAGUAUUUCCCAUAUGGUUUUAUUUGAGUGAUAUUUAGAAGACUACAGAUUUUAAUAAUGCAGUAGGUAUCGGAGCUUGUUAAAGUAGGAGGAUCAAAAGCCUAUGAUUUUGUAUAAAGAGUUGGAAAAUUAAUUAUUAGCAAUGAGCAAGCUUUAAGUACAG